UACGUAGGAUGCAAACGUUGUCCGGAUUUAUUGGGUUUAAAGGGUGCGUAGGCGGCCUAUUAAGUUAGUGGUAAAAACGUUCGGCUUAACCGGAUACCCGCCAUUGAUACUGAUAGACUUGAGUGCGACAGAGGGUGUUGGAAUGUGUGGUGUAGCGGUGAAAUGCUUAGAUAUCACGCAGAACACCAAUUGCGAAGGCAGAUGCCUAUGUCGUAACUGACGCUGAGGCACGAAAGCGUGGGGAGAAAACAGG
rnacentral:rRNA from 1 species